AUGGCGUGAUGUCAUACAGAUAAUCCAACUCUGAAGCUUACGUGUUGACUAACCAUCUAAGAGCUUUUUAACCCUGAUCAUC
rfam:Saprolegnia parasitica CBS 223.65 unplaced genomic scaffold supercont2.13, whole genome shotgun sequence.